GAUGAAGAACGUAGUGAAAUGCGAUAAGUAAUGUGAAUUGCAGAAUUCAGUGAAUCAUCGAAUCUUUGAACGCACAUUGCGCCCGCCAGUAUUCUGGCGGGCAUGCCUGUUCGAGCGUCAUUUCAACCCUCAAGCCCCCGGGCUUGGUGUUGGGGGUCGGCGUGCCCUCGCGGCGCGCCGUCCCCUAAAUCUAGUGGCGGUCUCGCUGUAGCUUCCUCUGCGUAGUAGCAACACUCGCACUGGAUCGCAGCGCGGCCACGCCGUUAAACCCCCCACUUCUGAAAGUUUGACCUCGGAUCAGGUAGGAAUACCCGCUGAACUUAAGCAUAUCAAUAAGCGGAGGA
rnacentral:misc_RNA from 1 species